CCUGCCCUUGGGUCCGGCAUAACCCCGGGAAACUGGGGAUAAUUCCGGAUAACGCAUAUAUGCUGGAAUGCUUUAUGCGUCAAAUGGAUUCGUCUGCCCAAGGAUGGGUCUGCGGCCUAUCAGGUAGUAGUGGGUGUAAUGUACCUACUAGCCGACGACGGGUACGGGUUGUGAGAGCAAGAGCCCGGAGAUGGAUUCUGAGACAUGAAUCCAGGCCCUACGGGGCGCAGCAGGCGCGAAAACUUUACAAUGCGGGAAACCGUGAUAAGGGGACACCGAGUGCCAGCAUCAUAUGCUGGCUGUCCGGGUGUGUAAAAUACACCCGUUAGCAAGGGCCGGGCAAGACCGGUGCCAGCCGCCGCGGUAACACCGGCGGCCCGAGUGGUGAUCGUGAUUAUUGGGUCUAAAGGGUCCGUAGCCGGUUUGGUCAGUCCCCCGGGAAAUCUGUCGGCUUAACCGUUAGGCUUUCGGAGGAUACUGCCAGGCUUGGAACCGGGAGAGGUAAGAGGUACUACAGGGGUAGGAGUGAAAUCUUGUAAUCCCUGUGGGACCACCUGUGGCGAAG
rnacentral:rRNA from 1 species